UUCGUGACGUAGAUUAUGCUUUAGCUGCGUAAGCAGUAACAAGCACAGUCGUCCUAGCUGGUAACGGCUAGAGAUCAUAAUUGGGUGAAUUGCUGGAAACCCCUUAGAGCUUUCUUCCCCACAGCGGAGUUGGAAACGACAGACGCGAUGGGUUUAAGAAGAAGAGAGAUUGGGCAAUCAGCAGCCGAGCUCCUGUUCCGAAAGGAUGGAGAAGGUUCAACGACUAGGAUAGACCAUCUAAAAGCUAAAGCUCAAGAUGAUGAAAUCCAUAGGUGAAGCAGUAGAUCAUCACUACUGUGAAUCCGAAGUGCCCAACCCCUACCGAAUACGGAGGGUGAAGAUAUAGUCUAGUCAUUUAUGAAAGUAAAUG
rnacentral:ncRNA from 1 species